GUGUGUGUGUGAGUGUGAUGGUGCUCUUGGACAGAUCACUGGACAAGGUGGAGGUGGCACUGGACUCCAGGAUGCAGUGCAUCGAGAUCCUGUCCAGGUUCAGCUGGAUGGAUGCUAUGGUCACUCGAACAACCAGUUGACCGGAAGAAUUAGCAAAGGAUUGUGUGUGUGUGUUGGUGCCUUUGGACAGAUCACUGGAUAUGUUUGGUUGAAUAUGGACUAAUGGAUAUAUAUAUGGAAAUGCCAUCGUUCACGAUUCCAGAGCAUCGAAAACUUCUUCAGGAGCGAAACGACGAUCAGCAGGUGGAUCAGCAUUUUGCCAUUCCGAUCGAGGGUGGCGAGUGGAGGACUCCCCAAUAAUCGUUUCGCCGUGAUUCGCAUUUGGUAUCAACAAUUCCGCAACGACAUUUGCGAUCGGCCCGCUAACAGAACAGUUUCACUGCACCAAAAAAAUUCAACAAAAAAUAUGCACCCAAAUGACGCGAAUAAUCCGUGCCAGCAGCGACGUGGCGAGAGGAGCUUGCGACAGGACUCGAGUUCCGUGAGACCGUUUUCAACCAGCCGACAGCGCCGCCGUUGAUCAACUGAAGAUGCAGCCGCCGG